rnacentral:rRNA from 1 species
UACGAGGGGGGCGAGCGUUGUUCGGAAUUAUUGGGCGUAAAGGGCUCGUAGGCGGACCGGUGUGUCUGGCGUGAAAUCUCCACUGCUUAACAGGGAGGGGCCGCUGGAAACUGCCGAUCUUGAGUAUGGUAGAGGACCAUGGAAUUCCGGGUGUAGCGGUGGAAUGCGUAGAUAUCUGGAGGAACACCGGUGGCGAAGGCGGCAUCCUGGACCAACACUGACGCUGAGGAGCGAAAGCCAGGGGAGCAAACGGG